AUGUCUAGCGUCGCGACCCAGGAGGCGGCGUCGGGGUCGACCUUGCAGGAGAAGGCAGCCAGCAGGAACAAGCGCAAGUUCCGUGCCGAACCGCCGUCCGGCGAGCUGGCCCCCUUCGGGCUGGAGUACCCGCUGACGACGGACUGCGUGGGCUUUGAGUUUAUGUCUCCUGAGAAGGCUGCCAUGGCGGCGGCCGCCGCUGCUGCUGAGGGUGUCAAUCUAGACUUCAUCCCGAGCACCUGUGAUGCCUGCAAAGGCAUCCACGCCACAGCGGAGGAGCUAUUAGAGUGUCAGCGGUAUGUGAAUUGGAGUGACCCAAAUGAGGCACAGCUGGAGGAGAUCCUUCUCAAGAGUCUGGAUACAACCUUUGACAAUGCUGUCAGUGUGAUCACCACAAUGGGCUACUCAGAGGCUGCCGCAAGGGCUGCGGUCGUGAGGGCAGCCGCACAGUACAGCUGGAGGGAGAGCCUUGCUGGGUUCAGUGAGGCCGCGGUCGAGGUGCUCAAGUCCGAGGGGGACAUGUUACCAAGGGAUGGCUCCUCCCUUGAGGACAUGAGGAAGAUUGAGCAGGUUGUGCUUGCUAGCCUGGUUGCGGUGGUCAAUGAGGCCCAGCCGUUCUACACCACAGGCGAUGUGAUGUUUUGCUUGCUCAUGUCAGAUAUGAAUGUAGCCCAUGCCUGUGCCAUGGACUAUAGCGCUGCUCCUCUUCCGGCUGUGGGUGCUCAAGUGAUUGCACAGCCAGUUGUGGGGAACUAUGAACCCACCCCAACUUCCGAUCUGUCGGUUUCUAUUACCAACCCACAGACUGGUGUUACUUUCCGCGGCAAACUUACCCCAGUGCCACCUGGCACGUACAAUGCUGUGAAAGCUGAUUCAUCCACAACACCAGUGAACCCGAAUGUGCCAAGUGGCAAGCCAUGUGUCUCUGGAAAGAUGCAUCCUGUGGCACCAAAUGUUAAGCCAAAAGAACACCCGGCUGCUACGCCUGAUCAUUCAGAGGAUCAACCAUUUGUUGCUGCUGCGACACAAUCUGUGAAGGAUGAUAAGCCAUUCCCUAGCAAGAGGGGAGGCUCUAAGAGGGAUUCCUUGCACCGGCAGAAGUUAAUGAGCUUUGAUAAGAAUUCCCGAGCGUUGGGCUCUAAAGGAUCUCUUAGGUCUGGCAAGUAUAUCUCUUGUGGGACUGUAGCAUUAGAGAGGAAGUGCAGGCAGGUUUCAGAUUCUGCUACAUGUAGCUUGAAAGGUGCAUCAAAAAUUGCCAAGGGGUUUGCUGCAAGCAUGAAAGGGUCAGAAUAUUCAGUUGACCUUUCUUUUACAGCCACUGGUACCAUUGCCUCCCUUCCAUCAUUUGAUGCUAAGCCCCCCAAUAACACUGACCCAGCAUCAGCUGCUAGCACAGAAUUGUCAUUGUCGUUGCCAUUGCCUUUGCCUUUACCUUCCUCAAGUGAUGGUUCUGCUCCUUCUUUGAAUCAUGAUUCUAGUGCUGAAGCUGUAGACCCUAGCAGCAAAAUUAACUUUGCAUACGAUGAGGAUCAGAAGGUCUGGAUUCCACAAGAUAAGAAGGAUGAAAUGGUCUUGAUUCUUGUCCAGAGGCAGAAAGAGUUGCAAGCACAUAUGAGGGAUUGGACAGACUGGGCUAUGGAGAAGGUGAUGCAGGUCACACGGCGACUUGCCAAAGAGAAGGAGGAGCUUCAGUCACUCCGGAAAGAGAAGGAAGAGGCGAGCCGACUUCAUGAUGAAAGGCACUGUCUGGAAGAGAGCACUCGGAAGAAGCUUUUAGAGAUGGAGUCUGCUAUUUCUAGGGCAAACAAUCAACUGGAUAAAGCAGAUGCUUCUGCUCGUAGGCGUGAGGCUGAGAAUGCACAACUUAGGAUGCAGAUGGAAGCCGCAAAGCGGCACGCAGCUGAGUCUGCAGCAAAUUUUGUGGAGCUUUCAAAGAAGGAUGAGAGCAGUCUUAAAAGGUCCCAGCAUUGGGAAUCCGAGAGAGCCAUGUUGCAAGAGCAGCUUGCAUCUGAAAAGAGCAAACUAUCUCGGGUUCAGCAACAACUUCAGCAUGCUAAAGAGAAGAAGGAACAACUCAAGGUAAGAUGGAGACAGGAAGAGGCUAGGAAGACUGAGGCAAUUGCCUGUGUGAGCUCAGAGAGGAAAGAGCGGGGUCAGAUUGAGACAUCUCUGAGGUCGGAAGAGAAUUUCCUGCACCUCAAAGCUGAGAACGACAUGCAGAGAUACAAGAGCGAGAUCCGUGCCCUGGAGCAGCAGAUCUCGCAGCUGAAGAUAUCCCUGGACGCUUCAGAGACGGCUGCUCCCAAGUGGGGAACGGACGACAAGACCCGUGCCCUGCGUCUCUCCGAGGGGAGAAAGAACGGCGGCAACGCACAGGUCCUGGCCAAGGUUGCGGGGGCGGCGGCCCUGGACCUCGACUUCGACGACAUCCAGCGCGACCGCGAGUGCGUCAUGUGCCUGAGCGAGGAGAUGUCGGUGGUGUUCCUCCCCUGUGCCCACCAGGUGGUCUGCGCCAAGUGCAACGACCUCCACGACAAGCAGGGGAUGAAGGAGUGCCCGUCGUGCCGGACCCUCAUCCAGCGCAGGGUCUGCGCCCGCACCGUGGGCUGCUGA
rnacentral:rRNA from 1 species